AGAACGAACGCUGGCGGCAUGCCUAAUACAUGCAAGUCGAACGAACUCUUCGGAGUUAGUGGCGCACGGGUGCGUAACGCGUGGGAAUCUGCCCUUGGGUUCGGAAUAACAGUUGGAAACGACUGCUAAUACCGGAUGAUGACGAAAGUCCAAAGAUUUAUCGCCCAGGGAUGAGCCCGCGUAGGAUUAGCUAGUUGGUGAGGUAAAGGCUCACCAAGGCGACGAUCCUUAGCUGGUCUGAGAGGAUGAUCAGCCACACUGGGACUGAGACACGGCCAGACUCCUACGGGAGGCAGCAGUAGGAAUAUGGACAAUGGGCGAAAGCCUGAUCCAGCAAUGCGCGUGAGUGAUAGGAAGGUCCGUUAAGGUUAGUAAAGCUUACGUUUACCGAGUAUAGAAUAAUGAACAGUAUACGGGAGAAGAACGACCCCGGACUAACCGUCCGUCGACCAGACGACGCCGACGUAA
rnacentral:rRNA from 1 species